AGAUUGAACGCUGGCGGCAGGCCUAACACAUGCAAGUCGAGCGGUAGAGAGGUGCUUGCAUCUCUUGAGAGCGGCGGACGGGUGAGUAAUGCCUAGGAAUCUGCCUAGUGGUGGGGGAUAACGUUCGGAAACGGACGCUAAUACCGCAUACGUCCUACGGGAGAAAGCGGGGGACCUUCGGGCCUCGCGCCAUUAGAUGAGCCUAGGUCGGAUUAGCUAGUUGGUGAGGUAAUGGCUCACCAAGGCGACGAUCCGUAACUGGUCUGAGAGGAUGAUCAGUCACACUGGAACUGAGACACGGUCCAGACUCCUACGGGAGGCAGCAGUGGGGAAUAUUGGACAAUGGGCGAAAGCCUGAUCCAGCCAUGCCGCGUGUGUGAAGAAGGUCUUCGGAUUGUAAAGCACUUUAAGUUGGAGGAAGGUUGUAACUUUAAUACGUUGCAACUUUGACGUUACCGACAGAAUAAGCACCGGCUAACUUCGUGCCAGCAGCCGUACG
rnacentral:rRNA from 1 species